GAAAGUACAAAGGAAAGGAAAGUGAUCUUGAAUUGUCAAAAUGGAAAUAUAUAAUAGUGCUGAGUAGUGCUCAGAUUCACCGGGAAUAAGAGGGAGAACUGAUAUCUGCUAUUGGUUGGAUGAAGAUUUUUUUGUUUGGAAUUACAAUGCUGCCCACAUGUAAUAUUGGCAAAGGAAUAUGCACAGGUCAGUUAGCUGAGCCAAAGGAACCCAGAUUCACUGAGGACACAUUCCUUUGCCAUUAUUGCCUAUAGACGAGUGAUAGAGAUGUACCAGUUACAGCAUACCCUUCUGGGAACAAAGUAUUCUUCAACAAAGUACCCGGUAUUCUAUAGACUCGAGGUUGUUUGUACCAUGAAGUCAACCUGAAAGAGCACUCAGCUGUUAGCAACUAAGCAACAGAAGACAAGCAGACACAAAACCUUUCUUCAAACUUGGGAUACAAGUCUUGAGUACCAUCCAUUAUAAUGCAAUUCAAGGAAAGACCCAUUCAACUAGCAACUAUAGUACAUACAUUGCACCAGCUACUGCAAGGACACAGAAAGAAUGAAAGUUGCCACCA